rnacentral:lncRNA from 1 species
UUUGGCAUUUAUUGUUGAAACUAUUAACGAGUUACUUCUACUUUAUUAUUUCAAAAAGUCUCAUUUUUUUUUCUUUUUAGUAUGCCACACGUGGUUGACAAACGUGAAUACUUUGAGAGGAUAUCCCAGCAGAACCCACUGUGGUUUGAGGGUUUUCUCGUCAUCUUGCAUUAGAGAAAAUGAUGCUGAAUCAUAUAUGCUUAACAAAUCAAAAAGCAACAAACAUAUGCUGGUCUUGACGGUUCUACCACUGGCUGGUUUCAGCAGGCCCUGGGCUGUGCGGGUUCGGGCUCCUCCCAAGAGAGAUGAAGAGAUGGACAGACAGUAACAGAAGGUCCUCGAAGCUGAUGUGUGAUGAAGGUACUUAGCUUUUAGUAGAUUUGCCUCCGUUUUGCAUGUGGGAAUCUCUCCAGGAAAAAAGUUCAAGCCCUGAACUCACACUCUCUAUUCUUGUCUAAGAAGGGAUGGAAGGG